GAUGAAGAACGUAGCGAAAUGCGAUACUUGGUGUGAAUUGCAGAAUCCCGUGAACCAUCGAGUCUUUGAACGCAAGUUGCGCCCGAAGCCAUUAGGCCGAGGGCACGCCUGCCUGGCGUCACACGUCGUUGCCCCCCAUCUACUCCUUCGGGAUUGCGGGGGGCGGAUGAUGGCCUCCCGUGCGCCUCGUCGCGCGGUUGGCAUAAAUGCCAAGUCCUCGGCGACGCACGCCACGACAAUCGGUGGUUGCGAAACCUCGGUUGCCCGUCGUGUGCGGUCGUCGCGCAUCGAGGGCUCGAAAAAAUUGCCGGGCUCCGGCUCGGCUUUCAACGCGACCCCAGGUCAGGCGGGGUUACCCGCUGAAUUUAAGCAUAUCAAUAAGCGGAGGA
rnacentral:misc_RNA from 1 species